rnacentral:rRNA from 1 species
UACGUAGGGUGCAAGCGUUAAUCGGAAUUACUGGGCGUAAAGCGUGCGCAGGCGGUUGUGCAAGACCGAUGUGAAAUCCCCGGGCUUAACCUGGGAAUGGCAUUGGUGACUGCACGGCUAGAGUGUGUCAGAGGGGGGGUAGAAUUCCACGUGUAGCAGUGAAAUGCGUAGAGAUGUGGAGGAAUACCGAUGGCGAAGGCAGCCCCCCUGGGAUAACACUGACGCUCAUGCACGAAAGCGUGGGGGAG